rnacentral:snRNA from 1 species
ACGCUCACUUCAGUAGCAAAUAUACUAAAAUUGGAAUGAUACAGAAAAGAUUAGCAUGGUCCCUAUGUAAGAUGACAUGCAAAUUCAUGAAGCAUUUCCUGUUUUU